rnacentral:sRNA from 1 species
AUUAAUAUCCAAAACAGUGAUACAAUUUUCCUCUCACCAAAUGAGACACAAAAGGCAGCUUACCCCUUUGAAGUACAAUACUGUGUGUGUGCUACAAAAAUAUUCUUGCGAGCUAGGGAGUUCCGUUCAAGCUAAAGGAGAUAUAUUUUGGCGCAAAUCCACGUGGCGCGAAAGUUCAAAUUUGAAUUUUUAAAAGUUGUGAUAUUUUCGAGAUUCUAGUCACAGGUGGACUUCAUAAUGUAGAUAUAUAUGUUUCUGGAGUUCUUCAUUACAAUUUAAUUAUGGAAUUUAUGUUUACAGGUCACCGGUAAGCCGGAAACCAGGUAAAAUUCUCUCAGUAUAAUUCCAGUUAAGAUGCCCCAGAUGGGAUUUAAUUGAAUAAGAAUUUUAAAGAAGAAGAAAAAGAGAAAGAGAUAUGAUUAAAUUUGUUGAUGAUUCAGCAAUGUUUGUAUUUGUUGUGGUUGAGUACAUUUACAAUUAAAUAAACAUGUAAAUCA